GACGAACGCUGUCGGCGUGCUUAACACAUGCAAGUCGAACGGAAAGGCCCUGCUUUUGUGGGGUGCUCGAGUGGCGAACGGGUGAGUAACACGUGAGUAACCUGCCCUUGACUUUGGGAUAACUUCAGGAAACUGGGGCUAAUACCGGAUAGGAGCUCCUGCUGCAUGGUGGGGGUUGGAAAGUUUCGGCGGUUGGGGAUGGACUCGCGGCUUAUCAGCUUGUUGGUGGGGUAGUGGCUUACCAAGGCUUUGACGGGUAGCCGGCCUGAGAGGGUGACCGGCCACAUUGGGACUGAGAUACGGCCCAGACUCCUACGGGAGGCAGCAGUGGGGAAUAUUGCACAAUGGGCGGAAGCCGGAUGCAGCAACGCCGCGUGCGGGAUGACGGCCUUCGGGUUGUAAACCGCUUUCGCCUGUGACGAAGCGUGAGUGACGGUAAUGGGUAAAGAAGCACCGGCUAACUACGUGCCAGCAGCCGCGGUGAUACGUAGGGUGCGAGCGUUGUCCGGAUUUAUUGGGCGUAAAGGGCUCGUAGGUGGUUGAUCGCGUCGGAAGUGUAAUCUUGGGGCUUAACCCUGAGCGUGCUUUCGAUACGGGUUGACUUGAGGAAGGUAGGGGAGAAUGGAAUUCCUGGUGGAGCGGUGGAAUGCGCAGAUAUCAGGAGGAACACCAGUGGCGAAGGCGGUUCUCUGGGCCUUUCCUGACGCUGAGGAGCGAAAGCGUGGGGAGCGAACAGGCUUAGAUACCCUGGUAGUCCACGCUGUAAACGGUGGGUACUAGGUGUGGGGUCCAUUCCACGGGUUCCGUGCCGUAGCUAACGCUUUAAGUACCCCGCCUGGGGAGUACGGCCGCAAGGCUAAAACUCAAAGGAAUUGACGGGGCCCCGCACAAGCGGCGGAGCAUGCGGAUUAAUUCGAUGCAACGCGUAGAACCUUACCUGGGUUUGACAUGGAUCGGGAGUGCUCAGAGAUGGGUGUGCCUCUUUUGGGGUCGGUUCACAGGUGGUGCAUGGCUGUCGUCAGCUCGUGUCGUGAGAUGUUGGGUUAAGUCCCGCAACGAGCGCAACCCUUGUUCACUGUUGCCAGCACGUUAUGGUGGGGACUCAGUGGAGACCGCCGGGGUCAACUCGGAGGAAGGUGGGGAUGACGUCAAGUCAUCAUGCCCCUUAUGUCCAGGGCUUCACGCAUGCUACAAUGGCUGGUACAGAGAGUGGCGAGCCUGUGAGGGUGAGCGAAUCUCGGAAAGCCGGUCUCAGUUCGGAUUGGGGUCUGCAACUCGACCCCAUGAAGUCGGAGUCGCUAGUAAUCGCAGAUCAGCAACGCUGCGGUGAAUACGUUCCCGGGCCU
rnacentral:rRNA from 1 species